GUGAAAACGGCUCGCUCCCAAUCAACCGAACAGCCAAAACGACGCAUUUGCUCGUAAAUGGAAGCCCCAUAUUGCUCCUUCCACUCCCACACCUAUCCAGAGAGCACAGUCAAAUGAGUAUUUUGUUGUGGAUAAGAAUGGGGCACCAAUCAGAGCGUGGGACCCAAGGGCAGUCUAAUCAGAGCGAAGUAUCCAAGAGUUGACGGAAGUAUGCCGUGUCGUCCAACGAGAGGAGUUAUCAUGCACCUCAAGAUACCCACACGUGUCGGGGAGGGGGGGCUUCAUUC